ACGUAGGGUGCGAGCGUUAAUCGGAAUUACUGGGCGUAAAUCUUGCGCCUUCUUUUCUCUCCUCCCUUUUUUCCCUCCCCUUUCUUCCCCUGGGACUUUCUCUUGUGACUGGCGGGCUGGAGUACGGCAGAGGGGGGUGGAAUUCCACGUGUAGCAGUGAAACGCGUAGAGAUGUGGAGGAACACCGAUGGCGAAGGCAGCCCCCUGGGCCGAUACUGACGCUCAUGCACGAAAGCGUGGGGAGCAAACAG
rnacentral:rRNA from 1 species